UAGGGAAUCUUCCACAAUGGACGCAAGUCUGAUGGAGCAACGCCGCGUGAGUGAAGAAGGUUUUCGGAUCGUAAAGCUCUGUUGUUGGUGAAGAAGGAUAGAGGUAGUAACUGGCCUUUAUUUGACGGUAAUCAACCAGAAAGUCACGGCUAACUACGUGCCAGCAGCCGCGGUAAUACGUAGGUGGCAAGCGUUGUCCGGAUUUAUUGGGCGUAAAGCGAGCGCAGGCGGAAGAAUAAGUCUGAUGUGAAAGCCCUCGGCUUAACCGAGGAAUUGCAUCGGAAACUGUUUUCUUGAGUGCAGAAGAGGAGAGUGGAACUCCAUGUGUAGCGGUGGAAUGCGUAGAUAUAUGGAAGAACACCAGUGGCGAAGGCGGCUCUCUGGUCUGCAACUGACGCUGAGGCUCGAAAAGCAUGGGUAGCGAACAGGAUUAGAUACCCUGGUAGUCCAUGCCGUAAACGAUGAGUGCUAAGUGUUGGGGAGGUUUUCCGCCUCUCAGUGCUGCAGCUAACGCAUUAAGCACUCCGCCUGGGGAGUACGACCGCAAGGUUGAAAC
rnacentral:rRNA from 1 species